rnacentral:rRNA from 1 species
UACGUAGGGUGCAAGCGUUGUCCGGAAUUAUUGGGCGUAAAGAGCUCGUAGGCGGUUUGUCGCGUCGGCUGUGGAAACCCGGGGCUCAACCCCGGGCCUGCAGUCGAUACGGGCAAACUAGAGUGCGGUAGGGGAGACUGGAAUUCCUGGUGUAGCGGUGAAAUGCGCAGAUAUCAGGAAGAACACCCGUGGCGAAGGCGGCUCUCUGGGACGGUACUGACGCUGAGACGCGAAAGCGUGGGGAGCGAACAGG